rnacentral:rRNA from 1 species
AGUGAACGCUGGCGGUAGGCCUAACACAUGCAAGUCGAACGGCAGCACAGUAAGAGCUUGCUCUUACGGGUGGCGAGUGGCGGACGGGUGAGGAAUACAUCGGAAUCUACUUUUUCGUGGGGGAUAACGUAGGGAAACUUCCGCUAAUACCGCAUACGACCUACGGGUGAAAGCAGGGGAUCUUCGGACCUUGCGCGAUUGAAUGAGCCGAUGUCGGAUUAGCUAGUUGGCGGGGUAAAGGCCCACCAAGGCGACGAUCCGUAGCUGGUCUGAGAGGAUGAUCAGCCAGACUGGAACUGAGACAGGGUCCAGACUCCUACGGGAGGCCGCGGUGGGGAAUAUUGGACAAUGGGCGAAAGCCUGAUCCAGCCCUACCGCGUGGGUGAAGAAGGCCUUCGGGUUGUAAAGCCCUUUUGUUGGGAAAGAAAAGCAGCAGUUUAAUCCCCCGCUGUUCUGACGGUACCCAAAGAAUAAGCACCGGCUAACUUCGUG